GCUGGCGGCAUGCCUACACAUGCAAGUCGAACGCUUUUGUUUCACCGGGUGCUUGCACCCACCGAGACAAAAGAGUGGCGGACGGGUGAGUAACACGUGGGUAACCUGCCCAUAAGAGGGGGAUAACAUCCGGAAACGGAUGCUAAUACCGCAUAUUUCCAAUUGUCUCCUGACAGAUGGAAAAAAGGUGGCUUCGGCUACCGCUUAUGGAUGGACCCGCGGCGUAUUAGCUAGUUGGUGAGGUAAUGGCUCACCAAGGCGAUGAUACGUAGCCGACCUGAGAGGGUGAUCGGCCACACUGGGACUGAGACACGGCCCAGACUCCUACGGGAGGCAGCAGUAGGGAAUCUUCCGCAAUGGACGAAAGUCUGACGGAGCAAUGCCGCGUGAGUGAAGAAGGUUUUCGGAUCGUAAAACUCUGUUGUUAGAGAAGAACAAGGAUGAAGUAACUGCUCAUCCCCUGACGGUAUCUAACCAGAAAGCCACGGCUAACUACGUGCCACAGCCGCGGUAAU
rnacentral:rRNA from 1 species